CAGCAUAUAAUUUCACUCCUCUACGUUUACCUUAAACUGCCUCUACCCCCCCACAAUCAAAUUUUUGUUCAAUUUUGGGUUAGUGGGGCCCCUCCGCAGCAUUUUUAAAAAACAGGCCCCCAAUUCGCUAAGUCCCCUGCAAGUAGGCCUAUAGAGAGCACUCUCUUAGAGGUGAAUUACCUCUGAAGUGAUGUACAAGCGAGCGCUCUUUGACUUGCCUAUCAACCAAAAGCUAUUGUAAUAUUUUACAUUAUAUACAAGUCCAUUGUAAUGAUGGGUAUUAAAUCCUAGACAAUCAUUUUCUAACUAUUUUCAUCAAUUACUGAGCCUUCACCUACCUCUCUCCCCAAUAGGUUUCUUCUCACACAAGUACCCUUCUGAAGGGAAGACACAGGGGACAGCUGAUUGACAGAUAAUUAACGUUUUCAUAUAUUCAAAACCAGGAAGUUUAGUAGUAAAAGACAAGGUUUGAAUUCUGCUUUAUUUAACAGACAUAUGUACAUCAUUGUUAUCAACCUCUUGCCCUGGGCUCCCGAGUGGGGCAGUGGUCUAAUGCACUGUAUCUCAGUGCUAGAGGCAUCACUACAGACCCUGGUUAGAUUUUAGGCUGUAUUUACAACCGGCCAUGUUUGGAAGUCCCAUAGGGCAGAGCACAAUUGGCCCAGCGUUGUCCGGGUUAGGGUUUGGCUGGGGUAGGCAGUCAUUGUAAAUAAGAAUUUGUUAUUAACUGACUUGCCUAGUUAAAUAAACAGACUUAUACCCUGACUACACCGCCCACGUCACGUCCGCGAGCAUUGCAAAAUAGAUUUAGGAAUCUUAUUCAAUUAUUGCUGCUUGCGCUCGCCAACGAGCGUCUGCUUUGCCAAGGGCUAAAAUAGAAGCCAUUCCUAUUUCUGAGACAGAAAUAGAUAACAGGUGCCAGGUGCUAGAUAACGGUAUCGAGCAUGAGCUCAUAGAUAUUCUUCACAGCAAGUUACAUCUAUCAACUGGAGCGCCCGGGGCUGGUACCAGCGCGUACGACAACAAUCAAUAAUAGGCUGGGUGAGUCUAAACCACGCCCAGUCUCUACUGUGAUAGGCCAACAGACGGGUUGGGACAAUGUCAGUAUGAGAAUACUGUUUACAUACUUGUCAGUUCUCUGUUCUGCGUGGUAUUACAGUGAGCCCAUAUAUAUAAAGUUGCAUUUGCCAUUUAUUACUUGGCUAAUAAAAAAUACAUAGUAUUGUAAUGUAACCUGACUAGGUCAUAAAUGAACAAUUGUCCAGACAGAGGCUUGAGUUUACGAAUUGACGGUUUAUUACACCAACUUUACACAGGCUACUGUUUGGGCCGUAGCACACGCCAAAUAGAUUACAGAUAACCCACAAGCCAAUCGUGACCUUCUCUUGUGAAACCCAGACGUAAGAGAGAGAGAACAAAGGCUGAACCUGGUCUUAACUUCCAAUGCUCCACCCCCCUGCCCAACCCCCCUCCACGCCACUCCGCCAACCACCAGGAUGCCCGGCAUCAGAACAUUCCAGGCAUUCCCGUGAUUGGCAGAUAGCAGGUUGAUUGACAGGUCGGACCCCGCGAACACCGGGUACUGGUCAGUACAACACAACCACCUCCUAGCCUAACACAUAACACACAGCUGUCUGUGCGGGUCGCUACAGUAUAAAAUCGGUGACUCAUUGUUAUAUUUAUCCUGAUACCAGAUUCGAAUUUACGCAACCCUAACAUUAGUUAAGAGUUUGUUUUGAUAUUUUAACCUGCAUGUCGUGAUCGCGUUUGGUGUAGGGGACAAAAUAAAUGUAUGCACGAUAGUGCACGCGCGCAGCCGGUGUGGGUUCCGUGUUAGGGGACAUGGCAGAAGGACACAAUGCAACUAACGUUAUACAGACAGAGUGGAAGGAGAGAGAGGCAUUCCAUCACCACCAUAACUGUAGUUUUUGGAUCUAAAAAAACAGAAGUUCUACUCGUAAUCCUAUCUAAUUCGUUAGCGAGUUUGCUCAAUUUACAUAUAGCAUGUUAUUUAGCUCACUGUUGGACCCCGACGGUAGCUAGUUGGCUAUUUUGACGAUUUAGGCGAGGGAUGCAGACUGAUUAUCCUCGGACGCGGUGGUAGAAGCGUUGCUGAGAGCCAAUUGGCUAUCGAACGGCCAAUUGCGUGAGAUGUGGGUCUUGAUAGAUUGGGAGCGUCACCGAAAUAAUAUUUAUGUUCGUGCGGUUCCGGGGGGUUACAAACGGAUUACGCUUCGAACAUACCGACUGGGUCAUUGCCACAGUGCUGCAUAACAUUUUGCGCAGCUAGGCAACUAUACUGAGGCAGGUAUAUUUUGCCAGACGGUCGAAUGCGGUUGGACACAUGGGGAGAAUCAUUUUCGCAGUAUCCUCAAAACCGGCUUUUUGACACAACUGCUGAAAGCUACAGGGACAUAAACACAAAAAAAAUGCUGCGUGUCCACGAUAGUAGGUUUGUCAGGUAAAUUUGGUAGUGAGCUUGUAUUAGAUGUGUCUAGCUAAACUAGCCAAUGAGUUGUGUGUGAAAGAAAUGGUAAAAUUUAUUUUUUUCAAUUUUGUAUUUAUUUCACCAGCUAAGCUAGUUGAGAACAAGUUCUCAUUUACAACUGCGACCUGGCCACUAUAAAGCAAAGCAGUGCUUUAUUAUGAUAGUUACUACCCCUAAUAACUUGCCCAAAUAACCAUGUUUUAAAGAGUGUAUGCCAGAGAGUGAGUUUGUCAGGUUAAUAGAAAUGAUGGUAGAUACUUCCCCUGAUAAUUUGGUCAGAACUCUGUACAGUAGGUGACAUUUACAUGAUAGCUAUCUAAUAGCUAUAGUUAUGCUAGGUGAUGGUUUAGCUUAUCCUGUUCAUGUCUAUGUAGAAGAAGACUGUGGGAGGAAGUGGAGAGGACUCUGGGACAGGUAUCAGAGGGAGAAGGGCAGAGAAAGAGAAGAGGUCUGAGUCAGCAGCUUAAUCUAGGACCUCCUGAGAUUAUUAUGACCCUCCCGGGAGUGACCACUGAAGGCCUUGAACAGGAUGUGGCCGUGGAGACAAAUGAGAGAAACAUGGAGAAAUGAAGAGGAACAACGUCACACCAGUCCCCAGAACCACUCAAAUAAUUUCACCAGAGGCUCCUUCCUCAAAGCCAUCGAGAGGGAUGCAGCCCAACCUGAUCCUCACAUUAAGGAGGAUGAAGAGACCCUCUUUGCCAUGAGCCUGUUGCCAACCCUGAAGUGGCUGCCUCAGCAAAGAAAAGCAGCAAUCAAGGUUAAAAUUCAUUAGCUGCGUUUUGAGGCGGAGUUCAAUGAGAUAGUCAAUUUAGCCGACCAGCUCACAGGAAGGACAGUAAGGAGACUUGUCUGGUUGUUGUUUUGACCUUCUCCUCCAAUGGGUUUUGAGCGGGAGGUGAGGAGAGAGGGCACGAGGAAUGCAACUGAAACAUUCCAACUGUCCUCAAUUGAGAUUUUCCAACUGUCCUUAUUCCGCUUUCUAUCUCCUUGUUAGUAGGCUUUUUUAGUAUGGAAUUCAUAAAGUAAAUAGUUUCUCAAUACUUAGGAUAGCAUUCAUUAUUAGUUGUACAUAGAUUGCAUGAAACCUGACACUGGAGAAUUCAGAUUCUCUUGUUAUUUUACAAGACUAAAGGUGGAAUGAGUGCUUACCUGUAUUGUGGCUACACAUUCACUUUGUUUUUUCAGACACACACCACUCCUCUCUGUCCCUCAGAUCUCCAGUGCCCUGCCCUUUCUCUUUUAUGGCCAUGUCUGAAGUUCCUUACUACGUCUAGGCUUUGAGUAGUCCCUGUAUCUGUCUGCAGCUGUGCCAAAAAUACAUGCUCUUUUUGUUCUCUUACAGGCUACACAUUAAUUGUUGUAUGUGUGCAUGUAAAAAUACAACUCUUUCAAUAGUUUUUAUUUUUGUAAGAUUUUUACAACACAUACCUGUCAUGUUCUUUCCUGUACUUGAAUACUUAUUAAAUUCUAAUGUUUUCAUA